AAGACAUUAGUAAAGCACAAAUUACAUCACCUUGUCAAGGUGAAAUCGUAGGUUAGACUCCUGCAUGUCUUAAA
rnacentral:tRNA from 1 species